AGCUGGUGAUGAAAAAUUUGAAAAGUACUUUUCUGACACCUUCUCUGACAGCUGAACUACAGCUUGUGAUUUGAACUGUAAUCCUGAGGCUU